rnacentral:rRNA from 1 species
GACGAACGCUGGCGGCGUGCUUAACACAUGCAAGUCGAACGGAAAGGCCCCAGCUUGCUGGGGUUAUCGAGUGGCGAACGGGUGAGUAACACGUGGGUGAUCUGCCCUGCUCUCUGGGAUAAGACAGGGAAAGUGGGUCUAAUACCGGAUAGGAUCGGGCCUUCGGGUGUGAGGUGGGGAGCUUUGCGGUUUUGGCUGGGCAAGGGGCCUAUCUGCUUGUUGGUGGGGUAAUGGGCUACCAAGGCCGAGACGGGUGGUCGGCCUGUGAGGGUGUACGGCCACAAUGGGACUGAGGCACGGCCCAGACUGCAACGGGAGGCAGAGGUGGGGAAUAUUGCCCAGUGGGAGCAAGCCUGAUGAAGCGGCGCCGCGUGGGGGAUGACGGCCUUCGGGGUGUGAACCCCUUCCGGCAGGGACGAAGCUUUUGUGACGGUACCUGCAUAAUAAGCACCGGCUAACUACGUG